GUAGCCUAGCCAGGAUAGGGCGCCGGCCUUCUAAGCCGGUGGUCCGGGGUUCAAAUCCCC
rnacentral:tRNA from 1 species